GACGAACGCUGGCGGCGUGCUUAACACAUGCAAGUCGAACGAGUGGCGAACGGGUGAGUAUUAUAUCGGAUCGUGCCCAGUAGCGGGGAAUAACUACUCGAAAGAGUGGCUAAUAACGCAUACCCUUGGAGCGGCCGCUAUCGGAUUAGCUAGUGGGGGGGGUAAAGGCGCACCAGGGCAACGAUACGUAGCGGGUUUGAGAGGACGACCGGCCACACUGGGACUGAACCACGGCCCGGACUCCUACGGUAGGCAGCAGUGGGGAAUUUUGGACAAUGGGGGAAACCCUGAUCCAGCCAUCCCGCGUGUAUGAGAAGGCCUUCGGGUUGUAAAGUACUUUUGGCAGGGAAGCGGUAUCUGCAUAAUAAGCACCGGCUAACUACGUGCCAGCAGCCGCGGUAAUAC
rnacentral:rRNA from 1 species